UACGGAGGGUGCAAGCGUUGUCCGGAAUUAUUGGGCGUAAAGAGCGUGUAGGCGGUCCGGUAAGUCGGCUGUGAAAGUCCAGGGCUCAACCCUGGGAUGCCGGUCGAUACUGCCGGACUAGAGUUCGGAAGAGGCGAGUGGAAUUCCCGGUGUAGCGGUGAAAUGCGCAGAUAUCGGGAGGAACACCUAUGGCGAAGGCAGCUCGCUGGGACGUUACUGACGCUGAGACGCGAAAGCGUGGGGAGCAAACAGG
rnacentral:rRNA from 1 species